CGCCGGUCAGGCCGGGCGAUCCGCCAGCGGCGUAAACUGUGCGGGAGCGCGGCCGUGGAGCAGGCACUUAAAGCUGUGGGGAGACACCCAGAAUCGAGCUUUUAAAGCUGAAGGAAACUGAAACAGAAGCUAGUGUGGACCCAGAGUUUUACUGACGAAGAAACUGAGCCCACAGAGUUAAAGUGACUUUGCCCAAGGUCACCCAGGUGCUUUCCGAGGCAGGCCAUGCUCAUGUUCAUGGCCUCUGACAGUGAGGAAGAAGUGUACGACGAGCGGACGUCCCUGAUGUCAGCCGAGAGCCCCACACCACGCUCCUGCCAGGAGGGCAGGCAGGGCCCGGAGGAUGGAGAGAACACUGCCCAGUGGAGAAUCCAGGAUGGCGAGGAGGAUGGUGACGAGGACCCUGACCGCUAUGUCUGCAGUGGGGUCCCUGGGCGGCCCCCGGGCCUGGAAGAAGAGCUGACCCUCAAAUACGGAGCGAAGCACGUGAUCAUGUUGUUCGUGCCUGUCACUCUGUGCAUGAUUGUGGUGGUGGCCACCAUCAAGUCUGUGCGCUUCUACACAGAGAAGAACGGACAGCUCAUCUACACACCAUUCACUGAGGACACGCCCUCGGUGGGCCAGCGCCUGCUCAACUCCGUGCUCAACACCCUCAUCAUGAUCAGCGUCAUCGUGGUCAUGACCAUCUUCCUGGUGGUGCUCUACAAGUACCGCUGCUACAAGUUCAUCCACGGCUGGCUGAUCAUGUCCUCCCUCAUGCUGCUGUUCCUCUUCACCUAUAUCUACCUCGGGGAAGUACUCAAGACCUACAACGUGGCCAUGGACUACCCCACGCUCGUGCUGACCGUCUGGAACUUUGGGGCUGUGGGCAUGGUGUGCAUCCACUGGAAGGGGCCCCUCAUGCUGCAGCAGGCCUACCUCAUUGUGAUCAGUGCGCUCAUGGCCCUGGUGUUCAUCAAGUACCUCCCGGAGUGGUCCGCCUGGGUCAUCCUGGGUGCCAUCUCUGUGUACGAUCUUGUGGCUGUCCUGUGUCCCAAAGGGCCACUGAGAAUGCUGGUGGAAACUGCCCAGGAGCGAAACGAGCCCAUUUUCCCUGCCCUGAUAUACUCAUGCAGCCGCUGUCAGCACCAUCUGAGUCGUGACCCUUUUCUCUUUACCCAGCUGCCAUGGUAUGGACAGUGGGCAUGGCCAAGCUGGACCCCUCCUCUCAGGGAGCCCUGCAGCUCCCCUAUGACCCUGAGAUGGAAGAAGACUCCUAUGACAGUUUUGGGGAGCCCUCAUAUCCCGAAGUCUUUGAGCCCCCUGUGCCUGGCUACCCAGGGGAGGAGCUGGAGGAAGAGGAGGAAAGGGGCGUGAAGCUCGGCCUCGGGGACUUCAUCUUCUACAGCGUGCUGGUGGGCAAGGCCGCAGCUACGGGCAGCGGGGACUGGAACACCACACUGGCCUGCUUUGUGGCCAUCCUCAUCGGUUUGUGUCUGACCCUCCUGCUGCUGGCUGUGUUCAAGAAGGCGCUGCCCGCCCUGCCCAUCUCCAUCACGUUCGGGCUCAUCUUCUACUUCUCCACGGACAACCUCGUGCGUCCUUUCAUGGACACCUUGGCCUCCCACCAGCUCUACAUCUGAGGGCCGCGGCCACCACAUGCUGGAAGCUGCAGGGAAUUUUAACUGGACGCAGUCGUAUGAUUUUACACUCUAGUGCCAUAUAUUUUUAAAACUUUUUUUUCCUUAAAAAAAAAGAAAAAAGUAUCGUGUUUACUUGGUGAGGAGGAAGCAGAACCAGCUUUUCGGUGCUAGCUGUUUUGUCAGGAGACUCUGGCCCGGCCCUUGGUGAGCACCUCCUCGCUUGCG